rnacentral:lncRNA from 1 species
UGAUUGAGCCCUGAGGUGGGCUGACAGUGUGGAGCCUGCUUGGAAUUUUGUCUCUGCCCCCCACCCUCUGCAAAAUAAAGAAAUAAACUUAAAAAAAAAAAAAAAAAAGAAUAUCUACUCUCACCAUUUCUAUUAAACACUUUGCUGAAGGUUCUAUUAAGGGCAACUGAAAGAAAUUCAAAAUUUUAAAAUUUUGUGCUUCAAAGGACAUCAUCCACAAAUUAAAGGAGGAGCACCUGGGUGGCUAAGCUAGUUGAAUGUCUGACUCUUGAUAUUGGCUUAGGUCACGAUCUCCCAGUUUGUGGUUCGAGCCCCAUGUUGGGCUCUGUGCUACAGGCAUGGAGCUUGCUUGGGCUUCUCUCUCUCCCUUUCUCUCUCUGCCUCUCUCCCAAUCAUUCUCUCUCUCUCUCUCUCUCCCCCUCUCUCUCUCCCUUUCUCUCUCUCUCUCUCUCUCUCAAAAUAAAUAAAUUUAAAAAAAGAAAAGAAAAGAAAUGAGGGUUGAGGGAAGCAGGGAGUUGAUCAGAGGGUACAAACUUCCAGCUAGCUAUAAGAUAAAUACAAUCUGGGCAUCUAUUGCACAGCAUUGAGGCUAUAAUUUAAUUAACAAUACUAUAUUAUAUACUUACAAGUUUUUAAGAGAUCUUCAAUUAUCACUACACACACAAAAUAAACCUCAUAGUGUUAAGGGAUUGAGAUGUUACCUAACCUUCCUGUGGCAAUCCUUUUGCAAUACACACAUGUGUGCAGUCAUCACAAGGUGGAAAAUACGUUGUAAAUAUCUUUUAAAAGUUUGUUUAUUUUUGACAGAGUCUGUGACACUGGGGGAGGUGCAGAGAGAGGAUCCAAAGUGUGCUCUGCACUGACAGCAGAGAGCCCAGUGCAGGGCUCAAACUCAGGAACCGAGAGAGAGAGUUGGGGAAGGGCAGAGAGAGAGAGGGAGACACAGAAUCCAAAGCAAGCUCCAGGCUCCAAGCUGUCAGCACAGAGCCCUACGCGGGGCUUGAACCCACAAACCGCGAGAUCAUGCCCUGAGCCAAAGUUAGAUGCUUAACUGACUGAGCCACCCAGGCACCAUAGAAUUUCAUUCCAUUUUAAGGCUCAAUAGCAUUUCAUUGUGUGUAUUUACCCAGGCACCCCAAUAUCUUUUUAUCUUAAACAUAACCAGAGACCUAUGCUCUAUAUUUCUUAAAUCUUCAUUUGUAUUGUCAUGAAUAACAUCCUUUCUGUUAAAUUCAACUUUUCAUUUUAAAAAGAGUUAUAGGGACACAUGGGUGGUUCAGUCGCUUAAGCGUCUGACUCUUGAUCUCAGGGUCUUAAGUUGGAGCCCUGCCUGAAGCCUACUUUAAAAAAUUAAUAAUAAUAACAAUAAAAUAAAAUAGUUAUAAAUUCAUUUUUUAUACUGGUUUAUGAACACAUGUAUAUUUAUAGACCUUGAGGACUCUUCCCACAUAAUUAAUGCACUAUGUUCGUCUCUCUUCCUAAUGGAAUAAAUUAGGCUUGCUCUGCUUGUUUAUUCACCAGCAGCAGGUAUUUUUAUCAUCCUACCAUCAGUCACAGCCAGGGAUUUGCAUUUUACUUUGUGUACUAUCAGACUCUUCCUCCUGAAUGUUUCUGAGCUACACAUCCACUACUUUAACGCACUAUGGUCAUAAAUAUCUGAAAUUGCAAUGUGUCAUUAGUGUAAGAGCCUGGUCAGGAAGUGACUUUUAUUCUUUACUGAAGGUGAUUCUUCCUGUCUCUCACAACUGUGUGUCAUACAUUUCUUUUUUAGGUAGAAUAUGAACAUGUUGCCCGAGAAUGUCGGCUUGGCAGCAAAGAGGGUCGUCCUUUCUCUGGGGUCACUGCUUGCCUAGACUUCUGUGCCCAUCCCCACAGGGACAUUCACAACAUGAAUAAUGGAAGCACUGUGGUAUGUACAUAGAUGGCUUUUGAUUCUAAAAGCUCCAUCUCUGUGUGGUUAGGCUGAAUAUGAUUACUGUUAAAAAUUUUAUUUUAGGGGCCCCAGGCUGACUCCGUCAGAGGAGCACAUGACUCUUGUUCUCAAUAUCAUGGGUUCCAGCCCACGUUGGGUGCAGAGAUGAAUUAAAUUUUAAAAAUCAUAUUUUAUGUUCUGUCUCACAUAGUAUAUACAUCAAUAGCAUUUACGUUAUUGUCCAAGUCCUUCCACAAAGUUACAGAACUGGCCUUAAAUAUUUUUUGAAGGUCUUGAAUCUUAUAUUUAAUUGUGGUGUGUUUGCUAGCAGGUAGGAGCACUCUUGUAUGCUCUCAAACUGAUAGGUAGGAAGUUAAGCAAUUUAUCGGUUCUCUUUUUUUGCCUUCUGGGUACCAAAGGGUUUUUGUGAUGGAAUUAUCCCGAAUGUCUCGUUUUCUUGUUCAUGUUUGUUCUUAAUACCAGUAUGUAUGUAUAAAGUUCCAUUAAUAUUCCAGAAUUAUCAGAAAUAUUUGCAUUUCAGUGCUCAUACUUAUGUUUACAGCCAUGAAAAGAAUUGUACGCCCAUAGCGUGAAGUCAAUUAAGAAAUACUUAAAUUAGGUAAAAGACCCUGAGAAAAAUCACACAGUUGUCUUUUUUAAAUGAAAUGGAUUUGGUUCAAGUCAUUAUCUCCUCACCUAGUAAAACAAGAGAUUAAUAUGGAGUGAUUUCCUCUGUUUUUGCAUGACACCAGUCUGGUUGGCCCCAUAUAAGAAAGACAUAGCUACAGUCCCUUACACUGUGACUAGAAGGACACAAUCUAAUCCGUCAAAAGGCAGCCUUCCCUCCUUGUUUAGCCAGUGAAGUCUAUGACUGAUAGAAUUAAGGAGCCAAAAAAAAAUUUUUUUUUUUUUUUGCAUUAUCAUUCCUCUCCACUGUCGUUGACUAUAGUCUUUGAGACAAAUGUUAUUUUCAAAGUUGAAAUAGUAGAAAUCUGUCCAGGUGAAUCGUGGCCACAGUGUGGUUCGUUGUCACUGCUUGGCUAGUGCUUGGCUAGUCACUUUACUUGAAUUGCUUCAUGACACAGUAUCCAUGAUCAGGGUGAAUUAGGUUCAGUCAAACUGGAUUUUGGUUCCUCUUCUUCUUGUGCUUCUCUUGUGUAUCAUUCAGUGUGGCCUCUUCUCCUCUGCUGUCAUUGCUCAUGCAAUGAGGCUUGUACCUAGAACUUGCCCUGACUCCAAAGUUCUGCAUUUCUGAAACCCUGGAAUCUUGACCUUCAGCUACCAACUCACUUGCCUCCCUGUCUGCUGCCUCAGUCUUUCUAAUUAUGCUCCUUGUAUCUUGUCUCCUCGGCCCCUUCUUAGUGUCCCGGUGAACAAAUACACCGCUUAAACAUUUAUUGAUGCAAGAGUCUAAUUUUUUUUAAGAGUCUAAUUUUUAACAUGAUUACUUUAAAUUAUUCACAAAUUACACCCAAGAGACCUUAGUAUUUCAAGUCUUGCCGGUAAACGUGACUAUAGAUACUGAGAAAAUAAAACUAAGUUUAUCUUUCUUUACCAUCUGUAUUCAUCAAGUUCUGUCAACCUUACAAUCUGGAAAUUUUUCAUAAGUAAUCCCCCUCUACCCAAUGAAUGUGUCAUUAUUUAAAUAGUUAAGAAAUAUGGUAAUAUAUAGGCUAAAAUAAUAUCUUAAUAGUUAAUAUUUAUUAUGAAAGCUGUGGACAGUCCAGUAAACAUUCCUUAACUUGGACAAUGGAGUAAGAUGAAAUAUAACAAAAAGACCUAGUAUUUAAAAUAUUACAGGAGUGCCUGGCUGACUCAGCCAGUAGAGCAUGCAACUGUUGAUCUCUUUGUCAUGAGUUCAAGCCCACAUCGGGGAUAGAGUUUACUUGUGUGGUUUUGUUCUGUUUUGUUUUCAGUUUUAUGUAUUCACUUUGAGAGGGAGAGAGUGCAAAUGGGCAAGGGGCAGAGAAAGAAAGAGAGAGAGAAUCCCAAGCAGGCUCUGCACUGUCAGGGCAAAGCCCCAUGUGGGGCUUGAACCCAUGAACCAUGCGAUCGUGACCUGAGCCAAAGUCGGAUGCUGAACCAACAGAGCCACCCAGGCACCCCAACAGAGUUUACUUUUUAAAAAUAUUAUAUUCUCAAAAAUAAAGAAAUAAACAUUUAAAAAAUUUUUAAACAAGCACCUCAGUGGCUCAGUUUAGUGUCUGACUCUUGGUUUUCGCUCAAGUCAUGAGCUCACAAUCCAUGGGUUCAAGCCCCACCUCAGGCUCUGUGCUGAUGGCGCAGAGCCUACCUAUGAUACGGUCUCUCUGCCCCUCCCCUGCUCUCUCUCUCUGUCUCUUUCUCUCUCUCAAAAAUAAAUAAACAUUAUAAAUAUUAUAAAAUACAUAAACGUGCAUAAUAUGUACUUAUAAGAUCAACUCAAAAGUAUGCUGGUCUGCUUACAGAUAAUUGAUAAAUUACUAGAAUUGAAGAAUGUUGAGUGGCUUGAUGUAUAUUAGUUGUGCAAAAUUAAUAUACCAGCAGGAACCAAUGGAACAUAAAAUGGGAACAUAGAUCCCUUUCACAGUGGCAACAAUUAGAAGGUAGAAAUAACUCUGAAUGUGCAGGACCUAUUUCAUGUUUUCUUUCUGUCAGGUUUGUACUUUAACACGAGAGGAUAAUCGCUCCUUGGGGGUUAUUCCUCAAGAUGAGCAGCUGCAUGUGCUACCGCUCUACAAACUCUCAGACACAGAUGAGUUUGGCUCUAGUGAAGGAAUGGAAGCCAAGAUCAAAUCUGGGGCCAUCGAGGUGCUCACACCCCGCCGUAAAAAAAGAACACGUUUCACUCAGCCUGUUCCUCGUUCUGGGAAGAAAAGGGCAGCAAUGAUGACAGAAGUUCUUGCACAUAAGAUAAGAGCUGUGGAGAAGAAAUUCAUUCCUCGAAUCAAGCGGAAGAAUAACUCGACCACAAACAAUAGCAAGGCUUCAUCGCUGUCGCUUUUAGGUGAGGCCUAUGGAUGCUGCUGAGUCUCUGUGCAACUCCCACUAGCCAAAGUGUUGGGACUUUCCCUUGCACCCCACUUCCCCUGUCCUUUAUCCUUGCUGCUCUCUUAGGAAUGAGGCAUUAUGAAAACAAAACACAGCAAAAAACAACUUUAGAUCAGAUGUCAAUUCAAUUAGGUAAUUAUUCUUAAAUCUCACUUGUUUCUAAUACAUGUUGCUUUAGAGUUCAAAAUAAGACACUGAAUCCAUACAUGUACACAAUUUCUACAUACUUUCCAGAACUAAAAGUCAACAAAAAAGUGACCCAUCAGUAUUUCUUGGUAUUUUUUCUAUUUAUGCUUUAAGAAAACAAACAGAAACCUGUUUUUCUUGUUUGGUCCGAUCUACUUUGAAGCCCUACUCCUUCUUGGAACUUGGGAAAUGACAUCACUUCCUUGAAGUCUUCCUUGGUCACAUUUAGCAUCAAAUACAAGUAAUCCAGUCAACAAAUAUUACUGAGUACCACUUUGUGCUGUUCUGGGGGUUGGAAAGUGAGCAGUGAAAGAGGAGAGAGAGCUCUGUGAGAGAAUUCUAUUUGGAUAUGGUUGUCGGAAAGCUAUUUGUUGAGAAUGGAGCAUUUGAGUAAAGUCCUUAGGCCAAUAAGAACCCUUAGUGUUUUUAUUGGGGAGAAAUAGCAUUCUACGCAGAGGAAAUGGCAAAUGUAAAGAUCAGGGGACAAGAGGUUACCUUGAAUACUUUAUGCAAGCAAAGAGGCCAGUGUGGCUGAAGCAGAGCAUGAAAUGGGGAGAGGAGUAAGAAAUAGAUUGGAGAGGGAAGAGGGGUGUUGGAGCGUUUCAUCUCGGGCUUUGUUGACUGCUGUAAAGAUAUCAGCAUUUAGUGAGUGAAAGGAAGGCUACUGGAGAUUUCAGAAUAGAGAGGGGCUGGGGCACCUGGCUCGCUCAUUUGGUGGAGCAUUUUACUAUUGAUCUUGGGGUUGUAAGUUCAAGCCCACGUUGGGUGUGAGGUUACUUAAAAGUAAAGUCUUAAAAAAAAACAUAGAGAUGGUAUAUGAUGUGACUCAAACUUAACAUUCUGCUUACUGGGUUGAACUAGAAACCAGUAGACAGAACAGAAAAGUAGGGUAAUGGUAAAGAAGAGGCUACAUCCUAACAGCUCAAGAAAAAGGUGAUGGAGCUCGAACCAGACUGGCUAAUGAGGACAUGAGAGAUGCCUGGUUCUGGAUCUGUUUUCAAGGUAGAGUCAACAGGAUUUCUGAAAAAUCUGGAUUGUGGACAAAAAAAGUCUCACUGUUUACCCUGGUGUUAUUGGUCUGGAGUGACUGGAAAGAUGGGGAAAUCACCAAGAAUCAUGAGAAAUGGGAAAGAACAAAUUCUGAGGGAGAUCAGAAGCUCACUUCUGGACCUGUCAAGUUUAAGACACCUGUCAGAUAACCAUUAGGUAAACAGUUGAAUAAGAGUGUAGUUCAAAGAAAAGAUUUUGGCUGGAGGUAUAACUUAGGAAGUCAGCUGCAUAGAGAUAGAAUUUCAAAGCCUGAGAGUAAAUGAAAUCACAGAGAACUAAAGGAGGUAGAAGGAGAAGUCCUGGGAAUUCCCAAUUUGUACAGGCUUCAGAGAUGAACACAGUCUUGGAAGGUCUGGUGAGGUAUUAAUGGAACUCUAAGAGUAUAUGCAGUGUUUCAAGGAGGGAGUGAUCAACCAUGUCAAGUGAGAUGAAAACUGAAGUUUCACUCUGAGUUUUACAGGCGGUGGGAGGUCCUGCUUGAGCAUUAUUGAAGUAGAUUGCUGGCAAAAUGGGAGAGAAAUGGAGAGAUUCUUGUGCUUGGUUAUAAAGGGAAUCAGUUGAAUGCAGUGAAGUUUUAAAGGUUGAGAGGUUUUUUUCUUAAAUGGAAAAAUGUUUUAAAGGUAUAGAGUGAGUGAAUUAUUUAAUGAAUCUCACUUCCCUCAAUAAUAAAUUGCAGAACUCACAUCAUAUUAUCUUAUCAAUUACUUCAUCAGUAUGUCAUUAAACAAUAAGUAAUUUUUAUAACCGCAAUACCUAAAACAAACAAAUCAAAUAUUGUUUUCAUACCAAUCAAUGUUCAAAUUGCUCCGUUUGGGGUGCCUUUGUGACUCGGUAGGAGAACCACCUGACUCUUGAUCUCAGGGUUGUGAGUUCAAGCCCCACAUAGGUAUGGCAUGGUGCCUACUUCAAAACAAAACCAAAAAAAUGCUCCAUUUUUCUCCUAAAUGAUUUUUCUUCUGUUUUUCAUUUUGUUUUGUUUAAAAAAAAUUUUUUUUUAAUGUUUUUACUUAUUUUUGAGACAGAGAGAGGCAGAGCAUGAGCAGGGGAGGGGCAGAGAGAGAGGGAGACACAGAAUCCGAAGCAGGCCCCAGGCUCUGAGCUGUCAGCACAGAGCCUGACGCGGGGCUCGAACUCACAGACUGAGAUCGUGACCUGAGCCGAAGCUGGAUGCUUAACCGACUGAGACACCCAGGCGCCCCACAUUUUGUUUUGUUUAAAUUAUUAUCCAAACAAGGUCACACGUUAUAGUUAUUUGAUGUCUCCUAAACCUUUUUUAUUUAAGCUUGCUUUUCCAAUUUUUCUUUUCUCUUUUUUUCAUAUAGCCAAAACCAUUGUCCUGUGGAGACAAAUUCAGCUUCCACUUUAAAAACACUAUUUAAAGACCACUGUCCAAUUUGACACUCUUGUUUCUUCACAUCAGGAAAUAUAUAGCGUCCAGUGAUAUCUCUUUUUUAUGAUGUUAAGACUGAUCCAUGGUCCAGGUGUUGUCAAUGGGAAUCACUGAUCAUAACAUUCCCUAUGAACUUUUUACCCAAUCAUUUUAGAAACACUUAAUAUCAUAUUAUAUAUAUAUAUAUAUAUAUAUAUAUAUAUUUUUUUUUUUUUUUUUAGUAUUUGUUUAUUGUUGAGAGACAGAGAGAGACAGAGCACGAGCAGGAGAGGAGCAGAGAGAGAGGGAACACAGAAUCCGAAUCAGGCUCCAGACUCUGAGCUGUCAGCACAGAGCCUGACGCAGGGUUCAGACCCAUGAACCAUGUGAUCAUGACCUGAACCAAAGUCGGGCGCUUAACCGACUGAGCCACCCAGGUGCCCUCAUAUUCUAUAUUCUUUAUUACAUGAGCAGCAACAAAGUCCACCAUUCUUCCAUUUGGUGGUUGAUCUUCUUUUACAAAGAAAUAUUGCCCUUACCAAUAACUUGUUAAUGCUGAGAUAUGGUUCAUGUAGGGAAAUUAGAAUAAAUGCUUGGCUAUUUGCCUUUAUUCACCGGUUUUUAGAAUACAAGUUAGUUCCUAAGCAAUUUCCAGUGUGUUCAGUUUUUUUUAAUUUAGUGUCUUUUGGAUCUCAAAAUUUUUCAAUUUUUAUUAUUUUAUUACUAGUAUUUUUAUUAUUAUUUAUAGUUCAUAUUUCAGUGCAUAUUAAAUAGGGUUUUUAUUCCUAACUAAAUAUGAAAAAUGCUUUAAAAAUCUUCAAAUUGAAACCAAAAAAUCCUCAAAUUGUUCAAUCUUUGAUCAGUAGAAACCCAUCAUGCUGGCUUCUGAAUUUUUUUGUCAUGACCUCGAUUGCCUUUGAUAGUUUCCUUAGCUUCCAACACGAUGUUCCAGGCUUGUUUUAUAUAACACUGCCCCAUAUAUAAAUUCAGCCAUCUCUCCAAGGAGCCCGAGGGAACAAAAUACACCAUGAAUUUGUAUUCAACUUUACUCAACUAUAGAAUUACGGGGUAUUCCUUAACUUGUUUGAUUUUUUUCAUAUUUACAACAAGAGUUUGCUUAUUUAUUUUUUGUAAGAUGAGAGAAAUGACAGAGCAGGCAUUUAUACAAGGCUAAGAAAAAUUUAAUAGAGAGAUAGUGAAGAGGCAAGAUGGGGAGAAUUAGGAUAAGUUUGUUUGAAUAUAGCUCCAUUUUACAGACACUUAUUUUGGAUUUUUUUUAAGAUUCACAUACCUGAUUCCAUACUGCCUGUAAGCAGCAUUUCUACCAACUUUAUCUUUGUGUCAUUCCCCAGUAGCAUCUUUACAUGUUAUGUUUUUUUUUAAAUUUUUUUUUUUAAUGUUUAUUUCUUUUUGAGACAGAGAGAGACAGAGCAUGAACGGGGGAGGGUCAGAGAGAGGGAGACACAGAAUCUGAAACAGGCUCCAGGCUCUGAGCUGUCAGCACAGAGCCCGACGUGGGGCUCAAACUCACGGACCUCGAGAUCAUGACCUGAGCCGAAGUCGGCCGCUUAACCAACCAAGCCACCCAGGCGCCCCUACUGCUAUGUUUUUAAUACUAUAUACGUUGAUGGGGUGCUUGGGUGGCUCAGUUGGUUAAGUGGCCAAUUCUUGAUUUCAGCUUAGGUCAUGAUCUUGUGCACACAUGUGCUCUCUGUCUCCUUCUCAAAAUAAAUAAACUUUAAAAAAUAAUAAUAAUAAUACAUACCCUGUUGGUAGCGCUCUGCACAAUAUUAGGCUUAUAACCCUGUGUCUUUUUGUAAUCUUAACCCAUAAGCACUAUUCUUUUAGUGUAUUAUUUAUUUAUUUUGAGAGAGAAUGGCAUCACGAACAGAGUGGGAGAGAGAGGGAGAGGGAGACAGUGAAUCCCAAACAGGCUCAUGCUGUUGUCACAGAAAGCAACAGGGGGCUUGAACUCACAAAUUGUGAGAUGGUACCUGAGCCAAAAGCAAGAGUUAGACACUGAACUGACUGAGCCACCUAGGUGCCUCUUCAACUAAAACUUCUUCUGUGACUUCCUUUGCCUAGUAAUUAACUUUGCCAGUUAUGAUGUUAUCAUGACCCAGAAAUAUUUAUAAACUAUUACUUAUUUUUACUUUUUUGGAAAUGAGAUCACGCAAUAAUCUCUUUGGGUAGAAAUAUUGUUCUGAAUCAUCAUGUUAUUACCUGUGUUGUAUUCCAAGGUAUAAUUUCAAUAUUUACUUUCUAGCCAAUUAGGUUGUUUCUAAUUUCUUAGUAUUUUAAUCACUGGGCAUCCUUCUGGCUAAAUGUGUACCUAGGGAAGCAUUCUUUAAGGAAAUUUGUUGGUUGGAAAAGCAUACCAAACUACAUGCGAUUUUUAAACUAUGCUUGUAUGUUUGUCUUAAAGUAAAUAGAACAAAACUGACCAACACUGCCAUCAUCAAUGUUUUGUCAUGUAUUUCUCUUUAAAAUACUCCUUAAAGACAACUACCUAAAGUAGUUUGUACUUAUCUUCGCAUUUGGUGUCCUUUUCUCUGUUUAGGGAAUAAAACCGAAGCCUUGCACCUUGAAAUAAAAAAUGAAACUGAACCCCAUUUUAUCUUCAAAGGUUCGGACAACACUAAAACCUACUCAUUGACCCCAUCCAUUCCUCACACAUGGAAAGAGGCUAACAUACCUCCAAGUCUCUCCUGGUCCCCUAAGACUGUGUCGGCCACAACAGCUCCUUUUAAGAACGAUGUGUCGUCAGUUUCGUACGGGUUUUCAGAAAGAAGUAGCAAUCCUCACUGCACAAUGCCUUCUGCGAGACACGGUGGUGCUAAUGCAGCUGCGGGGGAAGGCGCUGGAAUUGCACAGCCUGGUGAAGUGGUUCCUCUUCCCACCUUGUCUACUCCCAUGCCAGAUUCCUUGGUUUAUUCUGAGCCUCCCAGUGGUCCAUCUGAACAGCUAUCUUCUAAUCAUCCAAACCAGCACCCCCCAUUCACCGCCUCUCCUCAUGACCUUGCGUCCUCUCUGGUGGAAGAAGAUGAGCCACACUCUGAAGCAGAUGAGCCUCUCUCAGAUGAUCCCCUCUCAGAUGACCCCCUGUCACCUGCUGAGGAGAAAUUGCCCCACAUUGAUGAGUACUGGUCAGACAGUGAGCACAUCUUCUUGGAUGCCAACAUUGGUGGGGUGGCUAUCGCGCCUGCUCAUGGCUCCGUUUUGAUCGAGUGUGCCCGGCGAGAGCUUCACGCGACGACUCCUGUCGAACACCCAAACCGGAAUCAUCCCACACGCCUCUCCCUUGUCUUCUACCAGCACAAAAACCUGAAUAAGCCCCAACAUGGUUUUGAACUAAACAAAAUGAAGUUUGAGGCUAAAGAAGCUAAGAAUAAGAAAACUAAGGCCUCAGAGCAGAAAGACCAGGCAGCUAAUGAGGGUCCUGAACUGUCCCCUGAAGUUAAUGAAUUGAACCAAAUUCCUUCUCAUAAAGCAUUAACAUUAACCCAUGACAAUAUUGUCACAGUGUCCCCCUAUGCUCUCACACAUGUUGCAGGGCCCUAUAACCAUUGGGUCUGAAAGCUUUUCUCCCCUUCUUAAUGCCUUUGCUAGUUUUGUGUAUUUUUUCAAGGUGCUGUUAAAAGAAAGUCAUGUUGUCGUUUACUUAUAUCUUCAUCUCACCCAUUUGAAGGCUGAGGUAAAAAAAACAAAAAAAAAACAAAAAUGGGGUGGGUAUUUCUUAACUGUGACUAUAUUUUGACAAUUGGUAGAAGGUGCACAUUUUAAGCAAAAAUAAAAGUUUUAUAGUUUUCAAUACAUAAAGAAAUGUUUUGGUUAGGUGUUAACCUUGAUAGAAUCACUCAGUUUGGUGCUUUAAAUUAAGUCUGUUUACUAUGAAACAAGAGUCAUUUUUAGAGGAUUUUAACAGGUUCAUGUGCUAUGAUGUAAAAUCAAGACACAGUGUUAACUCUACACAGCUCCUGGUGCUUACCCACAUCAACAGUUAAAAAUAAGCUGCAUUAUUUUUUCAUGGUGCCAUUGUUCCAACAUCUUCCAAUCAUUGCUAGAAAAUCGGCAUAUUCCUUUGAAAUAAACCAAUGAAAUGUUUUCUCUCAAAAUAUCUCUCCUGUAUAAAAUAAUUCAUUAUUGUUAAUAAUGGUUGGAGGCUGUUCAUAAAUUGUAAAUAUAUAUUUUAAAAGCACUUUCUAUUUUUAAAAGUAACUUGAAAUAGUAUAGUAUAAGAAUCCUAUUGUCUAUUGUUUAUGCAUAUUUGCAUACAAGAGAAAUCAUUUAUUGCUGUGUAGAGUUCCAUCUUGUUAACUGCAAUAUGUAUUCUAAUCAUGUAUAUGGUUUGUUGUGUUCUUUUUUUUUAAUGUGUCCUCAUGCAAAUAUUAGCUACUUAUAAAAUAGUUAGAACAUGCAAAAAUUGUUCAUUUUCUCUAAAAUCGGAAUUAGGAAGCGUAUCACCGAUAUCGAUUAACGUUUUAUUUGGAGCUGAGUAAGAGUGCUCUCUUCUGAUUUAUCAAGCAACAGUGGCCCCAAUUUACUUUCCCUCCAGCUUUCUCAGUAUAAUCAUGAAAGGUUUUUCCAAAAGGAGAUGAAACACAGUAGGAAUCAGAAGAGUCAAAUGCUUCUAAAGUUUCAAGGUGUUCAAAUAUAAAAAUAAAGUAGCAAAAACCCUACCCAUCCCAACUGCCUUAUUUGUUCUUAAAAUCAUUCUGGUACAGAAUAAGAAUAAAAUUCCCGUAGGAAUCUUUUAAAAAUAAAUUCCCUAUCAUCAUCACAUAUCCACACAUCCGAAACAGUAGGAAUGGUAUUGCCCAUUAAUACUAAUCCAAAGUAGUUGAUUUAAGCACAUUCGUUCUAGGAAAAUGAAAACUCAUCUUCUCUGAUAAUUGCCUAUGUUCUAGGUAACAGGAAAAUAGGCAUUCCAUUUAUGUUAGCCCUCCCAUUAUAUAUUCCCAUUAUUUUAUUGGCUCAUUUUAUAACAAAACAAAAAGGAUUGCCCGAGCAAAAUGUUUAGAACAAGAAAUUUCAAUGAAAUACUUGAUUCUGUAAAAAUGCAGAGGUGCUAUAACAUUCAAAGUGUCAGAUUCCUUGGGAGUGUGGAAAACCUAAUUAAUGGUGCUUCUCCCUUGGAAAUGCCAUAGGAAGCCCACAACUGCUAACACUCAACAAUUUUGGUGCAAAAGCAAACAGUUCCAGCAAGCUCUCUAAAGAAAAACUCAUUGUAACUUAUAUUAAAAUAAUAUAUGGUGCAAAGUAUCAGUUUCAAGCUUUUGACUAAUACAAGUAAAGGAAUAUGAAGGGAUUGUAUAUAACAAAUAUCCAUUGGUAGACCAUCAUCUUGUACAAGUAGAUUUCUGCUUCUUGAAUAUGUAAAAUAGGGUGAUUCAUUGACUUGUUUUAGUAUUUUGUGUGCCUUAGAUUUCCGUUUUAAAACAUGUAUAUUUUUGUGAGCCUAAGGUUUCUUAUACAUAUAAGUAUAUAAAUAAGUGAUUGUUUAUUGUUUCUGCUGCUUCAAUAAGAUAUUUACUAGUAUUAGACUAUCAGGAAUACGCCCUUGUGAUAUUUCAUUUUAGAUAUUAGGCCUUAGCUCCCACUAGAAAUUAUUUCAUCACCAGAUUUAAUGGAUCAAGUUUUAACACCCUUUAUCCAUCCAUCCAUCUUCUUACCAUUCAACACUUACUAAAUGUCUGCAGAAUUUAAAUGUUAGCUUUUGAUUUUCUUUGAAUCGCCUCCCAUGACAAAGUAAACUUGAAGAAUUUAAAUCCUAAAAGAUGUUUUUAUCCAUGGUUUUCAAAGAAACAGCAAGUUUCCUUCAAAAGAAUCCAUUAUAAUAUAUCUGCAGAAAUUCCCAUCAGGGUCACUAACUGAAUAAGUUUCUUAACAACUGAACUUGAAGCUCCAGUGUUGACUUAGGGGAAUAUUGAAAAUUGUGAAGUUGGCUGCAGUUGCCCCAAAAACAUAUAUGAAAAUAUCCCUUCUCAACUAAAAUGUUUUCCAUUCCUUAUUAUAAUUCACACCAUCAAUAGCCUGCCUCAACCGAUAACCCCAUGGUGCGAACCACACGUGAUCCCUACUUUGUUGGACGUUACUUCAUAAGUUUAAAUUAGCAGUUUACCAUCCCUUUGUCUGCCCUGUGAUUUUUUUUUUUAACUCCUGCUUAUUCAAUGUUCUACAGCAUUGUGAUUGUAUGCUAGCAACACUGCUUUUAGACUGCUUUUAUGAAGCAAGGAAAUAAAUUUGUUUGAAAUGACAUUUUCACUCUGAAAACUGGUCAUCUAACAUUAUUUCUACACCUCUUAUGUUUUACUGUCACGAUCACCUUUUGCUUCACCUCUCUUACAGCACUCAAAUUGAGUUUUUGAAUCUUCUGCCUUUGUUCAUGGUAUGAUAAUUGAAUUCAUUGAUACGUGAUCCCGUGUUAACCCAACCUGUCCAUAAUAUGUUACAAACUUACUAACUGCAAUGAACUGCCUAUUUUAGAAUCCUACAAUAUAUCACUCUGCCCUUCAGACUCCCAUUUCUAAUGGCUCUCAGGCCAUGGUUGGAAAAAAAUGUUUUCUUCUGCUUAUCAGCCUCACCUGUAUCUUCCAAUCCAUCUACAAAGUACCAAGUACAUCAUGUCAUAGACCUAAUUGAAACAUAUUAUUGGAAAGUGAGGCUAGCUGAAAAUGUAUAGCUGUAGGUCAAUUUUUGCAAUAUGUUAGCAAAAUGUUUGCAGCUUACCCUUCUAACAUCUUUGUUAUGCAAUCUGCAUGUGAAAUAAUUUAAUUUGUUAAAUAUAGAAUUUCAACUAGAUGAAAUCCGUAAGCAAUUUACUUAAGACAUAACCCCAGUACAUACUUAAUUGAAUGCAUACCCUUGUGUAAAUGAGAUAACAAUUCAUAUGAAGUAACCUACUUUCUAAUGUUAUUGCUUCAGUGGAUUUGAAUGGAUCAUCAUUUAUUCCACAAUAGCAUGUAUGAAAAUAACCCCAAACUACUUAAGUUUAUUCUUUAAGACAAAUUCUAUUCAGAUUUUUUUAUCUGGGACAAAGUUUUGACAUUGCAUGACAACUUCCACCUAUAGCGAGCACAGGACUUCCUUUGAAUGUGCUGAGUAAAUCAGUAGCUGUAUGUGACUUUUAAUAAUAUAUAGCUACCUUCUAUUUCACAACUUCUUGCUGCAUGGAAAUUUCUUUUUAGUCUAGAUUUAGUACAACUGUGAGUUUUGAUCUUCUGUACAAUUUUAUGACAAGAAUUGUGAAGUAAUAUGGUAGUGGCCUCUCAUAGCCCUGGAAGACACCUUAGAAGUCCUAUAGUUAAAUUACUGGGGCCUAAAGAGCAGAUGUUAAUGUCAGUGUAUAACUUACGUUUAUAAAUAGAAUUUAAACCAUCAAAUGAAGGCCACUUUGUUGUGCGUAGGAGGAUUUUAGGAAACAAACUUGAUUUCCUCACCCAGGGAGUAUUGUAUCACUGGGAAAUAACCUUAUUGCAGUACAUGUGAAAGAUAAAAAUGGCCUUUUAUUUUUUCUAUUACUUUUUUUGUUUUGUUUGGUUUUUUAUUUAUUUAUUUUUUUGUUUGUUUUCCUGAGGGCUUCAGGAAAAUAAGUCAAGUGAAAUUGGAUCAAGAUUCCCCUGUGUGGGAAAUCUAGCUGACUUUUACCUAUGAAGUUGUCCUGUUAACUAAUCCAACAAAAUGUGGCAAUAGUCUUAUUUGCUAUUUCAAUAAAAAAUAUAUAUACAUCAAGUACUUACACGGUACAGGCUUUUAUUUCCCCUGGAACAAUUAUUAGGCAUAUAUAAGGAGUUAUGAAAAAUUGAAUGAUUAAAAGAAUUGGAGAAAGUAUAUCCAGUGUAUAUAUAUAUACUACCUAGCCAUGGUUGUACAGUCUAGUCACACCUCCUGCCAAGUUGGCCUCACAAGUAAAUCCUAGCAUAGUUAAUUUUGAAGUGAUUGUCUACCUGUAUUAGAAUACUGUUUUAUUGUGCACAGUUCCUAAACUUGCCCAUAAGUGUAUUGAACUUGUAACUUCAUUGUCAACAGUAAGGUACACUCAACCAAGUGAUGAUAAUGAGUGCCCUGAUUCCUGAAGAGUCUGGACUUACCUAAAUCAAAAUUGUGCUCCAUUUUGAGCUUUCUUCUAACAGGUUGAGAAAAUGAUGCCACUUAUGGCUCUGGAAUUCAAUUCAGAAAGAAUCAGCAUGUCUAUCAGAAGCUGGAUUCAUGUAUUUUCUUAGAAUGUAUUAAGAUUUAUUGGCGGGUUUUUGUUGUUUCUUUGUUUUCUUUUCUCAUGUAUAAAAGAGUGUCUAAGUUCUUCUUUUAAUUUUGGAAAUGAUAAAACUGGCUUUUAUGCAAGACAUCACUCUUUUUGUCUUGAACUCUACAAACUUCAAUUCUCUUUAUUCCAAUACAUCUAGGUGACUUUGUUUCAAUCCCCUUGUCUUCUGGGCACCUGAUCAAAUACCACUGUUUACUUCGAAAGGCAUGUAUUUUAUUCCUUCAAGUAAUCCAAAGGUAUUCCUCAUUUUGCCACUCCUAAUUUUCACUUCUCCUUUAAGGGCCCCACAAUGUGUUUCUCUUUUGAUAGUAUGCAAUAUUUAAUAUAUCUAGCUUUAGAAGUCAAACCCUUGUCUCAGCUUUGUUGGCCAUACUUUUCCCAUUCCUACUGUGAUACCAUGAUCCCGCCGGGAUCACAAGUUUUUCUUGUUUGUUCAGCCAUACUUGUCCCCUAUAACUGAAGCAAAACUUAGUCUAAGGUAGGAAUGUUAUUAUCAGAUUUUAAACACAUUACAUCUGAUUUAACCGAUUUAUGUUUGUGCGCAACUUGCGAAACUCCUGUUGAAUAGUUUAACCUAGUUUUCCUAAAAUAGAAAUUUUGUCCCCAGCAGCUGUUAUGAAAGGCAUUCUCUCUUGUCUUGUUCAUCAGAAAAAAAUCUUGCAGCUGUCAGAAACAUGUUCACUUUUGGAGAGACAGUAUUAAGAAGUAAUUUCCUUCUUCAUUUGGCUAGGUAUAGACUUGCCAUCUUUGACCAGAAACUGUGCUUGUUAUUUUUCGUUUUUCAUUUCACUGACGCUAUGCUGUUACUAGUGUACUUUCAUUCUUUUUACAGUUUUUAUCCUUUCCUCUGAUUUUCUUUAAAUUAAAAUUCUAUUGCUUCCUCUCCCUGUUCUGCCUCCAUUCCCCAUGCUCCCUACACAUAUACACAUGGUUCAUUUCAAGAAUAGCAGUGAUCUUGGUCAAGGUGUCUUUUCCUGCCUUCUAAAAUCAUGUUUCACAAAUCCUUUGUGGAAUAAUACCAAAAAGAAUCAACAUAUUUUAUUUAGCCAUUUUUGGGUAGAGGCAAAUUCAGUUUUUAGGAUUAGAUAGUGGUCAUGCGCCCAUUGUUCUCUUUAACAAUCCCAACAAUGUUUGUCUCUUAACUUGUUUAUUAGUGCUUGAGUGUUUUGCAAAAAAAAUUGUAUAAGAAGUUAAAUAUUCUAGCACUAUUUCUGCAUAGCUUUGCUAUUUCUGUACAAUACAUUAUACUAAUUAUAAGUUGUCUGACCAGUGACUUUGAAUUAAUAACAGGUCUGAUUUCUAGAGUAGAUAUAUAUUUUUUUUGCACGUUUUAUCUCCUGGCCCAGUUUUGUGGAUGAUAUCUACUUUCUAAUGUAAAUUUACCCCUUUAGAAAUUGGGUUUUGACAAUAAUAGGAAAUAUUCUAAAAUCUGGGUGAGAAAGGUUAAAAAUGAACUGAAAGUAACUUGAGGAAUUCUUAAAGAUGGGAUAAAUCAGUUAUCAGGAGUUCUGAGUGUAAUAGGGGGGAUUUAAGGGGCAGAGAGGAGGGAGAUUUGUGCCCCUAUUCACAAUCUGCUGGUUCACUCCACCAGCCCAGCCAAAAAUUCAUUAAUAGCUCUCCUCCCCACCCUAUAAGUUUUAUGUGAAAAAUAGCUCAAAAUGAGGAACCAUUUUGAAUGCAAAUAUGGUAGUAAGAAAAUUAUAAUCCCUGUAUUUUAUAAUGUUUUAGGUUAUCCAAAUGCUUUACAAUGUGCUCAUUUUUUCUCCCCAACACUGAGGGUUGGACAGAUGUCCAAAUGUUCCCGUCUUACUGGUGGUGAACCUGCUGAUUGGCAAGAGUAGCAAAUGGCUUGCUCCAAGUCAUACACCAAGUCAACCCAUCUGAGACUAAACCAUUUCAUAUCUGCAGCCUGCUAAGUGCAUUUCUGCAUCAGGGCGUCUGGGUGCCUCAGUCAGUUAAGUGUCUGACUUUGGCUUAGGGCGUGAUCUCACAGUUCACAAGUUCAAGCCCCACAUCGGGGUCCAGGCUGGUGGUGUGGAGCCUGCUUGGGAUUCUCUCUGCCCCUUCCCUGUGUGCACACUCUCCCUCUCAAAAAUAAAUAAAUGCAUUUCGGCAUCAUAAACAAUGACUUAGUAUUAGUGGGUAGAAAUUUUGUCAGACCAGAUCUAAGAAUAAUGUAAACCCUAUUUAACAUAUGCAAAACAUGUUUCUGACGUAUUUUGUUUCCACUAUUUAUUUAGCCAGUGAUCUCUUAAUGCAUACUUUGGAAGGUCUCCCUAAAUUCCCAGAACUUCUGCAUUAGGGCUUAGAUUAAUGAAGUUUCAGUUUUUCCCCUGUAAAUAAACCUUUUAAUAAGGAAUGUCCCUGUGCUACGAAAACAAAGGGAAACCCCAAUAAUAAUUGUUUAAAAAAUACUACUUUUAAAAAGACUAAGAUCAGCAGUUCAUAAUCAAAGUUUAAUGUAUUUGUUAUAUUGAAGUGCAGGUUUCUAGAAGGGAAUGUGCUCAGUAAACUGACUAUUUUAGUUUUCAGGUACUCAGUAAAAAUGUAAAGUUGUUGACAUCUCUAAGAGAUCGUACUGUCUCCCACUUAUUUAAAUUUGUUUUGUUUUGUUUUUCCUUCCUCUUUGUUUCCAGCCAUAUAAAGUCUCUAGUCAAAGUUUAAACAUACCUUUGCCCAGAGAGUUAAGAAAAAUAAUGAGAUGUAUUUGUAAAGCUUUUAGUAAGUUCUUUGUAAAAAUAAAGAGGUAGGAUAUUUUGCCUAUUCCAUCAGUACAUUAUGGGUUGCUAAUGAAAAACCCAAACUUCCCUAAAUAGUCAAAAUAAAUUCCACUUUUGGUGAUUUGAUUCAGUAACUGCCUAUCCUCACUAAUUAAUGCCUGUUUGUGAUAUUCUAAAAUGGCUGACAACAUAGGACCUUACAAAAACAGCUCUUAAAAAAAAAGCAAAACAAAGAUUAAAUAUUUUUUAUUACUAUGUAUGGUCAUUUUUUUUAAACUUCUAUAACAGAUAACAUUGUGAUAGGUGCUUUAAGAGAAAUAUUUUUCCAGAAACGGUUUUAUAGUAAUAAAGGGGGGGGGGGGGGGGGGGCNGGGGAGGGCAGCUUUUGCAUUGUUACCUAUGGGUGGAUGGUCAUCUUUGAGUUACUAAGAAAUCAUGAAGUGUUCCCUGAAGAGAAAUUUGUAAAGCUACUUGGCAGAAGGAAAAGCAUUACUUUCUAGUUUCUUCAUUUUCUCUUGUGUUAUAUGAUGACCUACCAAGUAGAUUCACGUGCAUAUCAAUACUUUGGUUCAAAGGAGAAGAAUGAGUACUUCUCAAUAGUGGGAGUGAAAUAUUCACAGAUACUUCAUCAUGGGGAAAUAGAGUAGUACUGACCUUUCAAUAAAGAAGUAUCAAUUUCACAAGUUAAUAUUCCUGUCUCUAGGUGACUUUUCCUCCUCUGAGGGUAUAUUUACUAUUUAUUUUGUACCUUUGAUUUUUUGCUUAGGGGGAUUUAUUUUUACCUAUUGCAGUCCUACUGUAUUAAAUAUCCCAUACAAUGAAAUAAGUUAAUAAGAAAAAGAUUUUAAAAUUCUACAAAAUCUGGUUUUGGUUCUUAACAUACGGGAGAAACCGUUUAAAGAAAAAGCACUUCACCAUGCAGAAGGGAAAGAAAUAAUCUUAAUUGUGAUGAUUACAGUUCAACAUGUAGUGCUCUGCAUACAAGGGAACACUUAUUAGCAGUACUUGAAGACUUGUGAGUUGGAAUUGCAUGUUACUUGAAAGAACCUAAUUAAGCUAAAUUUUGGUGCACAGCAGUUGUACAUGAUUUCAUGUUUAUGUAGCAAAAUGCAUUGAAAUGUACUAGUAUUGAAACAUACAUGUAAAGAUAGUUGUGGAAAUUGUCUAUUAUAUUUUCCUUGUGUGUCUCAUUUAUUUAGAGCAUAAAGUUUCUUUUUUAUUAAGUGUUCUAACUGAAUAAGGCUAAAUGAAUACUGUAAUUGAAAUUAUAUUUUAAAUCUUUGUCAUGAGUUUUUAAAAAAACUAUUGCAAAUUGUAUCAUUCCUGAUUACACGGAACUUUGUGGGUGGUUUUAAAUAAAUUUUAUACUUCUAUUUUGCA